UGCUCAUCCUUGAUAACAUGUCUGCAGGUGA
rnacentral:piRNA from 1 species